CCUGCAAUGGUUGCUGGGCGACAGCGGUGGAGAGAUGGGGAGGCCUGAGGACCUGGGCUGGUCUUGGAGGGGGAGCUAGCCCGUGCCCGGAGGAAGUACUGGGCCCGAGUUGAAGCGGUGCGACCCGGAGAGACCCAGCUGCUCUCCCCUCCGCUGGGCCCAUGGCUGGGGUAGAGCACCCUGCUCCAGCAAGGGCCUCGGCCUGGACCUGGAGGCCAGUGGCGCAGGACGUGCUCCUGGCUCGUGCCUUCCAUUCAUGCACGGAACUGCGGGGGCGGUUCUAUCUGGUAGGGGGUCUCCUAGAAGGCGGUGCAAGAGUGCCCAGCAGCGAUACUGUCGUCUUCGACCCAGCGGGGGGCCAAGCGGUGCGCCUGCUCGGCCGGGGCAGUCCCCCUCGCAGUCACCACGACGCGGCGCAGGUGGGCGGACGCUGGCUCUGCGUGGUGGGGGGCUGGGACGGGUCACGUCGCCUAGCCACGGUGGCCGCGCUGGACACGGAGAGUGGCGUGUGGGAGGUAUGGACCGCGAACCCCGGCAGCUGCCCCCCCGCCGGCCUCAGCAGCCACACGUGCACUCGCCUCUCCGACCGAGAGCUGCGCGUGUCCGGCAGGGAGGGCGGCGUCCGCACACAGCGACGCUACGGAAGCAUCUACACGCUAAAGCUGGACCACAGGACCCGAACUUACUGCUACAAGGAAGAAGGCAGCCACACAGCCUCCCGAUCAGGUCACUGUGCCGCCCUCCUGCCAACUCCUGGACCCCAUCCGGGCCAUCAGCUAUUGCUCUUUGGGGGCUGCAACUCAGUUGAACCAGAAGUAGCGGGGCAAUGGAGCCAUGGGAAAAUUAAGGUACCAGCUACUCCCAUUUUAAAGUGGACAAGGUCUGCUGAAGCUGCGAUGAGCAAACCCUGCGAUGAGCCAGUCCCCUUUUUCCUUCUCCCCAAAGGAGGAACCACCUGUGGCCCCUCGUUUGACCGAACAGCUUGCAAGGCUUGUGAGCAGUGGGCAGGGGUUACAGCAGGGACCUCAGAGCCUGCGAUACCAUUCCUGUUCAGUGGUGGGACCCUUCGCUGUACUGUUUGGUGGAGAAACUCUGACCAGAGCUAGAGACGCAAUCUGCAAUGACCUGUACAUCUAUGAUACCCGAUAUGAACUAAAAUAAAUGUACUAAAAUGUGUAAAUUAUCUCCAGUUGUGGAAAAAUUCAGCCACAAAAGUAAAUCAUUGUCAUCAGCUAAUUGCAACGUAACUGUGAGUGAAGUGUAAAGUAAACAACUUUUAAGCUGACAUCUCCAGGGUCUCAAGGAUAAUGAAAAAAGGAGUGCAGAAAUUAACUCUGACAGAGAAAAUCAAGUGCUCUUUAUUAUACACACAAAGGCAAAAAAGUUCUGCAGGUAUUCUGGAGAUCUUGGCGGCUGUCCCUCCAAUCAUGGGAUCAAAAGCUAGGGUCUGGAGGGCAGAAGGAACUCAUCCCAGCCUACCUGCCCCUGCUCCUCACAUUCCAGCACGCUCCAAUUAUUUACAGCUUGUACUGCAGCUGGAGAGAACAUUAUCAGCAGCGACCUGUGGUAGUGUCUGCCCUAAUGGUGCUGAUUCUGCAGGCAUGCAGAAUGCAAGAGCUGUGGAGAGAUGGCUUCCUCUACUAAAACUUCAAAAGAUACACUGGACUGUUGGAGGUUGGGGUGGGAAUGCCCAGGCAGAAACCUAACGUAGGAAUGGGAACUGUCACAAGAGAACUCUGACUGAAGCAAUCCCUAGUGAGGGCCAGGCAGCUCCCAGGACCCCGAAUAAAACUGUCAGGGCCCACGGUCUGCCUGGGAGAGAAGGCUGCGGGCAUCGGUAAGCAGCUCUAGCCCAAGAGCAUCAAGUAUGGACUGAGCCCAGCAAGCCCACAUGUGUGGAGCUGCCCAACAUUUUAGAGGCCCAGAGUUUCCAAAGGACAAGGAUAUAGGAAGAGAAAAAUUAUUACAGAAUUGUAAGACAAUGCCUGCAUUCUUGGAACUCAGACCUAAGGCUUGUUACCCACUCCUUCUGGCUUUCCAUCUCUCUUUUAGAAUGGGAGUGUCUACCUUUUGCCUGCCUCUGCAGUACGUGCUGGAAGUAAAUAUACUACUAAUCAUUGCCCAGGCUCACAAAUGACCCUAGAAUUUUGAGUUAGUAUUAGAACAAAUUAAGACUCUGAGGACUAAUAAGACAGAAUAACUGUAAAAAUAACUUUUUUCUCCUGUUUCAACUGUUGUCUCUGAGGCUUACUGCCCCUGUCUGUUAACCUAGGCUGUUGUAGCAUGGACUGGGCCAUCUUUCUUAACCCAUCCUUAUACACAUACAAAAGAUAAAGUGUGAGACUAUCAGAAGACAUAGUCCAAAAUGUAAUAGUUACUUUUCUAUAGUAAGAUGAUUUUCUAUUUGGAUCUUUCCCUGUGUUUUAUACACCUCCUUCAAUAAAAUGUAUUGCUUUAAAGAGUCACUAAUGGUAAAAUAUGUUUCUGUGAUUUUCUAACAGGCUACAUUAAAAACUCUCAAAUUUGGGCAGCUAGAGAGAUGGCUCAGCUCAUAACUCCACUUCCAGGGGAUCUGAUGCUCUGACCUCCACAGUCCAAGGUCACCAGGAACACAUCCAACACACACAUACAUGCAGACAAACACUCCCCCAAGUGCUAUGGUGCACUUAGGAGGCUGAAACAGGAAGUCAGCCACAGAUUCUAGACUAGCAUGGUCUUCAUAGCAAAUUCCAGGCUAGUCCAGGGUUACAGCUGAGAGCUCCUAUCUCAAACAAACAAAACCACAACAGCAAACCAAUAAACAAUAACAGAAAACAAAACUAGGCCUAGUACAAUCUAUUACCUACUCCUCCUUUCCUUGUAAAGGACACGUUUGGCUUGAAUUUGCAUCAGUGAUAAACACUUUAAUUGGGAUGGAGAGAAAAUUCCACAGGUAAAAAGUCCAUGAACCUGACUUUGAUUCCCAGAACACAUUAAAAAAAAAAAAAAAAAAGCAUAGUACUGAAGCAUGAAUUGCCUGGCAAUGGAAUGCUAGUGCCUAGUGCACUUAAAUGUUGAGGCACAAUGGUUAUCCUAGUGAUGGGAAAAGAAGGGUCUAUGGACUCUGGCUAGCCAUUCUAUCCUAGCUGAUGAGUUGUAGGCCACAUGAAACCUGUCUCAAACAACAACAAAGUUGACAGUGCACAAGAAAUUAUACCUAUGAUACCUGAUGCUGGCCUUCGGCCUCCAACAUAUGUAUAUGAAUGCACAUUUCUUCAUUUUCCUCUGAGGACUUUUCUCUACCACUCCUUGAAUAACAGUAAUUCCAACCUCUUUCCACAUUCCCCACCUCAUCUACAGUACCAUUAUCCAUCAGAGACAGAAACCCUAUAACCCUCUUCAAGUCUUGCAAAAAAGUCUACCAGCAUUUCCAAUGCCAGGUGGGUCAUGUCUCAAUGCUCUGGAACACAUUCCUUGCUUCUUCCUCCCCCUCCUAUUCUUCUUUUGGUUUUUCCAAAACAGAGUGUCUCUGUGUAGCCCUAGCUGUCCUGGAUUUGCUUUGUAGACCAUACUGGCCAUGAACUCAAAAGAUCUGCCUGACUCUGCCUCCCUUGUGCUAGAAUUAAAGGUGUGUGCCACUACAGCUGGCAAGCACAUUACUUCUAACUAAAAUAUUUUCACAUGGGGCUAGAGAGAUGGCUCAGUGGUUCUUCUCUUCUUAAAAGGGCAGUGGCUGUUCUUCCAAAAAACCUGGGUUCAAUUUUCAGCACCACAUGGCAGCUCACAACUGUCUGUAAUUCCAGUUCCAGGGGAUCUCACAUGGACAUACAUGCAGGCAGUAUACCAAUGUACAUUAAAAAAAAUAAAAUAAAAACAAAAAGAACUUCAGUUGACUGACUUUUUCAUCCUUUAAGAUUAAGCUGAAGAAUUUUAUCCUCUAGAAAAGCAAAGCAAAUAGGCAUUCAUAAAGAUUGUUCACAUCAUGUGCAUAUGUCCUGCACGUCUGCAUGCGAGCAUGUGCGCCUCAGCUCUGGCCUUGGAGGCCAGAACAGUGCACUGGAUCCCCUUGAGCUGAAGUUAUAGGGAAAUGUGAAGUCAACCAAGAUGGGUGCUGGGAACCAGAGUUGGUGCCUUGCAAAAGCCAUCUCUCCAGCCCCUAACUAACAUUUAUUAAACACAUUUCAUGUUCUCUGUAUUUUAGUCAGGGUAGGGGAAAAAAAAAAUCACAUGGAUUUUCUUGUUUAGUACUCUAAAUAGUUAUGAGAUAGGAACUGCUGUGUUUUUACAGA